rnacentral:rRNA from 1 species
UUAAGUGACUAAGCGUACACGGUGGAUGCCUAGGCAGUCAGAGGCGAUGAAGGGCGUGCUAAUCUGCGAAAAGCGUCGGUAAGGUGAUAUGAACCGUUACAACCGGCGAUACCCGAAUGGGGAAACCCAGUGUGUUUCGACACACUAUCAUGUCAUGAAUACAUAGUGGCAUGAGGCGAACCGGGGGAACUGAAACAUCUAAGUACCCCGAGGAAAAGAAAUCAACCGAGAUUCCCCCAGUAGCGGCGAGCGAACGGGGAGGAGCCCAGAACCUGAAUCGGCUUGUGUGUUAGUGGAAGCGUCUGGAAAGUCGCGCAGCAAAGGGUGAUAGCCCCGUACACUAAAAUGCACAGGUCGUGAGUUCGAUGAGUAGGGCGGGACACGUGACAUCCUGUCUGAAUAUGGGGGGACCAUCCUCCAAGGCUAAAUACUCCUGACUGACCGAUAGUGAACCAGUACCGUGAGGGAAAGGCGAAAAGAACCCCGGCGAGGGGAGUGAAAUAGAACCUGAAACCGUGUACGUACAAGCAGUGGGAGCACCUUCGUGGUGUGACUGCGUACCUUUUGUAUAAUGGGUCAGCGACUUAUAUUUUGUAGCAAGGUUAACCGUAUAGGGGAGCCGUAGGGAAACCGAGUCUUAACUGGGCGAAUAGUUGCAAGGUAUAGACCCGAAACCCGGUGAUCUAGCCAUGGGCAGGUUGAAGGUUGGGUAACACUAACUGGAGGACCGAACCGACUAAUGUUGAAAAAUUAGCGGAUGACUUGUGGCUGGGGGUGAAAGGCCAAUCAAACCGGGAGAUAGCUGGUUCUCCCCGAAAGCUAUUUAGGUAGCGCCUCGUGAACUCAUCUUCGGGGGUAGAGCACUGUUUCGGCUAGGGGGCCAUCCCGGCUUACCAAACCGAUGCAAACUCCGAAUACCGAAGAAUGUUAUCACGGGAGACACACGGCGGGUGCUAACGUCCGUCGUGAAGAGGGAAACAACCCAGACCGCCAGCUAAGGUCCCAAAGUCAUGGUUAAGUGGGAAACGAUGUGGGAAGGCAUAGACAGCCAGGAUGUUGGCUUAGAAGCAGCCAUCAUUUAAAGAAAGCGUAAUAGCUCACUGGUCGAGUCGGCCUGCGCGGAAGAUGUAACGGGGCUAAACCAUGCACCGAAGCUGCGGCAGCGACGCUUAGGCGUUGUUGGGUAGGGGAGCGUUCUGUAAGCCGUUGAAGGUGGCCUGUGAGGGUUGCUGGAGGUAUCAGAAGUGCGAAUGCUGACAUAAGUAACGAUAAAGCGGGUGAAAAGCCCGCUCGCCGGAAGACCAAGGGUUCCUGUCCAACGUUAAUCGGGGCAGGGUGAGUCGACCCCUAAGGCGAGGCUGAAAAGCGUAGUCGAUGGGAAACAGGUUAAUAUUCCUGUACUUGGUGUUACUGCGAAGGGGGGACGGAGAAGGCUAGGCUAGCCGGGCGACGGUUGUCCCGGUUUAAGCGUGUAGGGGGUGUGACCUGGUAAAUCCGGUUNNNNNNNNNNNNAACCCUGAGGCGUGAUGACGAUGCACUACGGUGCAGAAGUAGUUGAUGCCCUGCUUCCAGGAAAAGCCUCUAAGCUCUAGGUAACAUUAAAUCGUACCCCAAACCGACACAGGUGGUCAGGUAGAGAAUACCAAGGCGCUUGAGAGAACUCGGGUGAAGGAACUAGGCAAAAUGGUGCCGUAACUUCGGGAGAAGGCACGCUGGCAUGUAGGUGAAGUCCCUUGCGGAUGGAGCUGAAGCCAGUCGAAGAUACCAGCUGGCUGCAACUGUUUAAUAAAAACACAGCACUGUGCAAACACGAAAGUGGACGUAUACGGUGUGACGCCUGCCCGGUGCUGGAAGGUUAAUUGAUGGGGUCAGCCGCAAGGCGAAGCUCUUGAUCGAAGCCCCAGUAAACGGCGGCCGUAACUAUAACGGUCCUAAGGUAGCGAAAUUCCUUGUCGGGUAAGUUCCGACCUGCACGAAUGGCGUAAUGAUGGCCAGGCUGUCUCCACCCGAGACUCAGUGAAAUUGAACUCGCUGUGAAGAUGCAGUGUACCCGCGGCAAGACGGAAAGACCCCGUGAACCUUUACUAUAGCUUGACACUGAACAUUGAGCCUUGAUGUGUAGGAUAGGUGGGAGGCUUUGAAGCGUGGACGCCAGUCUGCGUGGAGCCAUCCUUGAAAUACCACCCUUUAAUGUUUGAUGUUCUAACUCGGCCCCGUGAUCCGGGGUGAGGACAGUGUCUGGUGGGUAGUUUGACUGGGGCGGUCUCCUCCCAAAGAGUAACGGAGGAGCACGAAGGUUAGCUAAUCACGGUCGGACAUCGUGAGGUUAGUGCAAAGGCAUAAGCUAGCUUGACUGCGAGAGUGACGGCUCGAGCAGGUACGAAAGUAGGUCUUAGUGAUCCGGUGGUUCUGAAUGGAAGGGCCAUCGCUCAACGGAUAAAAGGUACUCCGGGGAUAACAGGCUGAUACCGCCCAAGAGUUCAUAUCGACGGCGGUGUUUGGCACCUCGAUGUCGGCUCAUCACAUCCUGGGGCUGAAGUAGGUCCCAAGGGUAUGGCUGUUCGCCAUUUAAAGUGGUACGCGAGCUGGGUUUAGAACGUCGUGAGACAGUUCGGUCCCUAUCUGCCGUGGGCGUUGGAAGAUUGAGAGGGGUUGCUCCUAGUACGAGAGGACCGGAGUGAACGCACCACUGGUGUUCGGGUUGUCAUGCCAAUGGCAUUGCCCGGUAGCUAAGUGCGGAAAAGAUAAGCGCUGAAAGCAUCUAAGCGCGAAACUUGCCUCAAGAUGAGUCUUCCCUGGGCCUUUAAGGCCCCUGAAGGAACGUUUAAGACUAAGACGUUGAUAGGCUGGGUGUGUAAGUGCAGCGAUGCAUUGAGCUAACCAGUACUAAUGAUCCGUGAGGCUUAACCUU